rnacentral:rRNA from 1 species
UACGAAGGGGCUAGCGUUGUUCGGAAUUACUGGGCGUAAAGCGCGCGCAGGCGGUCUUCCAAGUCAGUGGUGAAAGCCCGGAGCUCAACUCCGGAACUGCCAUUGAAACUGUGAGACUUGAGUAUGAGAGAGGUGAGUGGAAUUCCCAGUGUAGAGGUGAAAUUCGUAGAUAUUGGGAAGAACACCGGUGGCGAAGGCGGCUCACUGGCUCAUUACUGACGCUCAGGCGCGACAGCGUGGGAUCAAACAGG